UCAUGGUGGGAGACAGAUAAGAUAAACACCAACACGACUGAUAAGACACAUACCUACACACGUCCUCACCAUAAGGAACGUGUAAGCUACUGACGUUUACUGAUAUCAUUUAAAACUUUGUAUAUUUUUAACUUUAAAUAUUUCCCAUAUAAUAUAAUACAUAAUAACGUCAUAACUCCACAACACGUGAUGUUGCACUUGUGGGUAAUAUGCAGCCAGCAUUAUCAGCCAUUAUCGCUAUCACUGUUAUCAGUCUCUGGCGAAUGUGUUCAUAUCUGUGUGUGUGGUGAACUUCCACACUUCCCAGUUGUUAUUGAUGGUUCCUCAGUGUGUUGUGGAACCUGAAGCUGGCCACUGUGUAGUGAACUACCAGAUGACAGAAUUCUGAAGAGUAUAAAGACAGAAGAAAUUAACUAGUUAAAGAACAAAUU